rnacentral:lncRNA from 1 species
UUUUUUUUUUUUCCCCAUUAUUGUGUGCGGCAGAGUACCACUCUCUGGGGUCCUUCCUCUCCUGCCACCUUGUGGGUUCAAGUGAUCAACCUAAAGUCAUCAGGGCUUCAUGCAAGCUCCCAUACCCAUGGAGCUAUCUUCCUAUCCCCUACAACAGGGCUUUAAGGUGUGCCUUAAAACGUGUGCACAUGCAACUACUGAUAUCUAAGUCAGAAAACUGGUCAGCAGUGGACACAGUUAGAGUAGGUGACCAGCAUGAAACAAAGGAGGGUAACAGAUUUAUGCCUUUUUUACAGCGUUUGAACUUUGGAUUACAUCUAUUCAAAAUGGCAACAUUUUGAAAACUAAACUUGAAGGCUAAUGAUGUUUAUUCAAAGCUAAAUCCUGAAUGAGAUGUGAAGUACUUCAUGAGGCUGCCUGAAGAGGGUCCUCUCCACAUACUGAAAUCCAAGAUUUCACACUGAAAUUCCAAGAUUUUGGUUUUUGUUUCCUUGCUUGCUUUGUUUUGUUUUGUUUUGUUUUUGGACAGUGUCAGUCUACAUACCCCUGGCUGUCCUGGAACUUAACACAUAGACCAGGCUAGCCCUUAACCCACACAGAUCAGUCUGCCUUUUCCUCCCUGAGUACUGGAAUUAAAGGUAUGUGCCACCA